UACGUAGGGUGCAAGCGUUGUCCGGAAUUAUUGGGCGUAAAGAGCUCGUAGGCGGUUUGUCGCGUCUGCUGUGAAAACCCGAGGCUCAACCUCGGGCCUGCAGUGGGUACGGGGCAGACUAGAGUGCGGUAGGGGGAGAUUGGAAUUCCUGGUGUAGCGGUGGAAUGCGCAGAUAUCAGGAGGAACACCAAUGGCGAAGGCAGAUCUCUGGGCCGUAACUGACGCUGAGGAGCGAAAGCGUGGGGAGCGAACAGG
rnacentral:rRNA from 1 species